rnacentral:tRNA from 1 species
CGGGGCGUGGCGCAGCCUGGUAGCGCACCUGCUUUGGGAGCAGGGGGUCGGCAGUUCGAAUCUGCCCGCCCCGA